rnacentral:rRNA from 1 species
GUUGUCCGGAUUUAUUGGGCGUAAAGGGCUCGUAGGCGGCCUGUCGAGUCGGGAGUGAAAGCCCACUGCUUAACGGUGGGUCUGCUUCCGGUACGGGCGGGCUAGAGUAUGGCAGGGGAGACUGGAAUUCCCGGUGUAGCGGUGGAAUGCGCAGAUAUCAGGAGGAACACCGGUGGCGAAGGCGGGUCUCUGGGCCAUUACUGACGCUGAGGAGCGAAAGCGUGGGGAGCGAACAGG